rnacentral:rRNA from 1 species
GACGAACGCUGGCGGCGUGCUUAACACAUGCAAGUCGGACGGAAAGGCCCUUCGGGGUACUCGAGUGGCGAACGGGUGAGUAACACGUGGGUGAUCUGCCCUGCACUUUGGGAUAAGCCUGGGAAACUGGGUCUAAUACCGAAUAGGACCACGCGCUUCAUGGUGUGUGGUGGAAAGCUUUUGCGGUGUGGGAUGGGCCCGCGGCCUAUCAGCUUGUUGGUGGGGUAAUGGCCUACCAAGGCGACGACGGGUAGCCGGCCUGAGAGGGUGACCGGCCACACUGGGACUGAGAUACGGCCCAGACUCCUACGGGAGGCAGCAGUGGGGAAUAUUGCACAAUGGGCGCAAGCCUGAUGCAGCGACGCCGCGUGAGGGAUGACGGCCUUCGGGUUGUAAACCUCUUUCAAUAGGGACGAAGCGCAAGUGACGGUACCUAUAGAAGAAGCACCGGCCAACUACGUG